CCAGCACGGUCGGAACGUGUCAGUGCCACGCCAACCGGACCCAGUAUGGGGACUAGUGUGAUCAUUGUGUUGGCUCUGGCUGUAGUGGUGUGUCAAGCCGCUUCAACAAGACGAGUCCUUCACAGGGUUUGUCUGGACGGUGAGAGGAAGACCGACGGUUGUAACCGGUGCUCCUGCUUGGGAGGCGCCUGGGCUUGCACCCUCAGAGCCUGCGUCGACCCCGCAGAUAUAUUUCCUGGAUCGCUGCCAUGCAAGCUGGCUCCCCACAUCAAAGGGUGUUGAAGAAUCUCGCCACGAUGUCAAGAAUACCUGCUUGACUAAACGAGGCAGAACAAUUGUUGGCUGAUUAAAGAAAAUGUCACGGCAACCAAGAGCCGUGUUCGUAUGUGAAAUUUUUACGUAGUUGUAAGCAUUGUUAUAUACCUGAAAGACACUUCCUGGAACUUGAACCGCUCGCUCGUUGUUUGUGCGACUGAAUUUGUUCAAUGUCAUUUGGAAAUCUGUCAGCUGAGACCAAUAUAAAUGGCAUGCAGCAUUGAUGUGUGACUGACAAAAGA